AGCUGAUCACUGGGUGUAAAGCGUGCGCAGGCGGUUUUGUAAGGCAGAGGUGAAAUCCCCGGGCUCAACCUGGGAACUGCCUUUGUGACUGCAAGGCUGGAGUGCGGCAGAGGGGGAUGGAAUUCCGCGUGUAGCAGUGAAAUGCGUAGAUAUGCGGAGGAACGCCGAUGGCGAAGGCAAUCCCCUGGGCCUGCACUGACGCUCAUGCACGAAAGCGUGGGGAGCAAACA
rnacentral:rRNA from 1 species